rnacentral:rRNA from 1 species
CAAGGUGCUGCAUGGCUGUCGUCAGCUCGUGNCGUGAGNUGUUNGGUUAAGUCCNGCAACGAGCGCAACCCNNNNCNNNAGUUNCCAUCNNGUNAAGNNGGGGACUCUGGAGGGACUAACCCGUUAGGGUGGGAAGGUGGGGAUGACGUCAAGUCAGUAUGGCCCUUACAUCUAGGGCUGCACACGUGCUACAAUGCCUGGUACAAAAGGAACCAAGACCGCGAGGUGGAGGAAAUCCCUAAAGCCAGGCCCAGUUCAGAUUGGAGUCUGCAACUNGACUCCAUGAAGCCGGAAUCGCUAGUAAUGGUAGAUCAGCUACGCUACCGUGAAUACGUCCCCGGGCCUUGUACACACCGCCCGUCAUCUUGCUAAAAACUCGANCC